UACAGAGGUCUCAAGCGUUGUUCGGAUUCAUUGGGCGUAAAGGGCGCGUAGGCGGCGGGGUAAGUCUGGUGUGAAAUCUCGGAGCUCAACUCCGAAAUUGCACUGGAUACUGCUCUGCUUGAGGGUUGGAGAGGAGAUCGGAAUUCACGGUGUAGCAGUGAAAUGACGUAGAUAUCGUAAGGAAGAACCAGUGGCGAAGGCGGGUCGCUGGACAGUUCCUGACGCUGAGGCACGAAGGUCAGGGGGAGCAAACGGG
rnacentral:rRNA from 1 species